rnacentral:rRNA from 1 species
UACGGAGGGUGCAAGCGUUAUCCGGAUUUACUGGGUUUAAAGGGUGCGUAGGUGGAUUGGUAAGUCAGUGGUGAAAUACUUUCGCUUAACGAAGGAACUGCCAUUGAUACUAUCAAUCUUGAAUGUAGUGGAGGUAGGCGGAAUGCGUCAUGUAGCGGUGAAAUGCUUAGAUAUGACGCAGAACACCAAUUGCGAAGGCAGCUUGCUACACUACUAUUGACACUGAGGCACGAAAAGCGUGGGGGAU